rnacentral:rRNA from 1 species
GAUGAACGCUAGCGGCAGGCCUAAUACAUGCAAGUCGAACGGGAUUUGGGAGCUUGCUUCCAAUGAGAGUGGCGCACGGGUGCGUAACACGUAUGUAACCUACCUUAAUCUGGGGGAUAGCCUCUCGAAAGAGAGAUUAACACCGCAUAACAUCACAUCAUAGCAUUUUGGAGUGAUCAAAUAUUUAUAGGAUUAAGAUGGGCAUGCGGAACAUUAGC